AGAAGCAGCUAUCCUUUAAAAAGUGCGUAACAGCUUACCAGUCGAGGUUUGGGGCACUGAAAAUGGACGGGGCUUAAGCCUACUACAGAGACCACGGACCACACGUUCGUGUGAUGGCGUAGAGAGGCGUGCUGCCUGGGCCGAAGCAGGGCCGUAAGGUCCUGUGGACCGGGUAGUAAUGAGAAUUCUGGCAUUAGUAGAAGCAAAGUUGGGUGAGAAUCCCAACCGCCGUAGGGGCUAGGUUUCCUCGGCAAUGUUCGUCAGCCGAGGGUUAGUCGGUCCUAAGGUGUGUCGUAACUCGAACACAUCGAAAGGGAAACAGGUUAAUAUUCCUGUACCGUGCAUCCAUUGCGGGUAACCGCCCUGACGCUUCGGGAUAUGCCGGGCAGGGUCGUCGCCCUGUCCAAGCGUUCAACCUCGUGGAGUACCGUCAUGGUGAGAAGCGAGGGAAGACGUGAUGGAGUAAUUCGGCAAAUUCCUGGAGCCCGUGAAAAGGGGGAUGCAAUGACCGUACCGAGAUCUGACACAGGUGCCCCUAGCUGAAAAGGCUAAGGCGUGUCGGUGUAAUCGUGUUAAGGGAACUCGGCAAAUUAGCCCCGUAACUUCGGGAGAAGGGGUGCCUGCCUGGCGAUCAGGCAGGUCGCAGUGACCAGGGGGCUCUGACUGUCUAAUAACAACAUAGGUGACUGCAACUCGGAAACGAUUAGUAUAGUCACUGAUUCCUGCCCAGUGCGAGUAUCUGAAUCCCGGGUUCAACCGGACGAAGGACUCGUAAACGGCGGGGGUAACUAUGACCCUCUUAAGGUAGCGUAGUACCUUGUCGCUUAAUUGGCGACUUGCAUGAAUGGAUUAACGAGAGCCCUACUGUCCCUAACACGAAUCCGUUGAACAUUUUGUCCUAGUGCAGAGACUAGGGACUCCAGAUGGGAAGUGAAGACCCCGUGGAGCUUUACUGCAGCCUGUUGCUGUGUUACGGUAUUCCUUGCGCAGCGUAGAUGGGAGGCGUCGAACCAUCCCUUCCGGGGGGUGGGGAGCCACCGAUGAGACACCAUCCUUGGUUUACUGUAACACUAACUCUCGUUCCGAGAGGACACCGGUAGGUAGGCAGUUUGGGUGGGGCGCCACACCCUCGAAAAAAUAUCAAGGGUGCCCUAAGGUCAACUCAUGUGAGUCAGAAACUCACAGGAGAGUGUCAAGAGCAUAAGUUGGCCUGACGCGAUUUCGCAGAGCAAGAAAUCGCGAGAGGAAACUCGGGUCUAACGAACCAAUGAGCCUUGUUGAUGAGGGCCAUUGACGACAGAAAAGCUACCCCGGGGAUAACAGAGUCGUCGCCGGCAAGAGCACAUAUCGACCCGGCGGCUUGCUACCUCGAUGUCGGUUCUUUCCAUCCUGGCNNGCCAAGGGUGAGGUUGUUCGCCUAUUAAAGGGGAUCGUGAGCUGGGUUUAGACCGUCGUGAGACAGGUCGGUUACUAUCUAUCUGGAGUGUUUGGAGUCUGAAGGUAAGAUGGAAAUAGUACGAGAGGAACUUUCCGUCGCCGCCUCUGGUCGAUCGGUUGUCCGACCGGGCACUGCCGAGCAGCUACGCGGUAAGGGAUAAAAGCUGAAAGCAUCUAAGCUUGAAACCCGCCCUGAAAAGAGACUCCGUUAAGGACACGGGUAAAAGACCCGCUUGAUAGGUCCGGGAUGUAAGCACGAAGGUAACGACGUGUUCAGUCCGCGGAUACUAACGUCCAAUGCCAUCCGCU
rnacentral:rRNA from 1 species